rnacentral:rRNA from 1 species
GAUGAACGCUGGCGGCGUGCCUAAUACAUGCAAGUCGAGCGAACAGACGAGGAGCUUGCUCCUCUGACGUUAGCGGCGGACGGGUGAGUAACACGUGGAUAACCUACCUAUAAGACUGGGAUAACUUCGGGAAACCGGAGCUAAUACCGGAUAAUAUAUUGAACCGCAUGGUUCAAUAGUGAAAGACGGUUUUGCUGUCACUUAUAGAUGGAUCCGCGCCGCAUUAGCUAGUUGGUAAGGUAACAGCUUACCAAGGCAACGAUGCGUAGCCGACCUGAGAGGGUGAUCGGCCACACUGGAACUGAGACACGGUCCAGACUCCUACGGGAGGCAGCAGUAGGGAAUCUUCCGCAAUGGGCGAAAGCCUGACGGAGCAACGCCGCGUGAGUGAUGAAGGUCUUCGGAUCGUAAAACUCUGUUAUUAGGGAAGAACAAAUGUGUAAGUAUCUAUGCACGUCUUGACGGUACCUAAUCAGAAAGCCACGGCUAACUACGUG